rnacentral:lncRNA from 1 species
GAUGGGCCGACAUCAUUGGUGGCACCUUAUGGUUACAAGGCUAUGCCAUGGCCGAUGGGGGCUGGCGGAAUUUGUGGACACAAUCGAUGGGAAGGAAAAAAAAUAGCUGGUUGAUCCAACUCUGGAAAAGCUCUGAAAAGAAGAGAAAACAGACCAAGAUCCCUUACCUACAUCCAAUGAAGAUGAUGGUGAUGAUCCCGACGAUGGCUACAGCAGGCA